CCUACGGGAGGCAGCAGUAGGGAAUUUUCGUCAAUGGGCGCAAGCCUGAACGAGCGAUGCCGCGUGAGUGAAGAAGGCCUUCGGGUCGUAAAGCUCUGUUUCUGGGGAAAAAAGGCAGCAUCAGGAAAUGGUUGCUUACUGAUGGUGCCCCGCCAGAAAGUCACGGCUAACUACGUGCCAGCAGCAGCGGUAAUACGUAGGUGGCGAGCGUUAUCCGGAAUGAUUGGGCGUAAAGGGUGCGCAGGCGGUCCUGCAAGUCUGGAGUGAAACGGAUGAGCUCAACUCAUGCAUGGCAUUGGAAACUGGAGGACUGGAGAGCAGGAGAGGGCGGUGGAACUCCAUGUGUAGCGGUAAAAUGCGUAGAUAUAUGGAAGAACACCAGUGGCGAAGGCAGCCGACUGGACUGUUGCUGACGCUGAGGCACGAAAGCGUGGGGAGCAAAUAGGAUUAGAUACCCCAGUAGUC
rnacentral:rRNA from 1 species